AUAUUAUCCAACCAAACUCCACCCCCUCAUCUCAGGGUUAAAUCUACACAUGGUUCACCUACACCUCCCUCAGUCUGGUCUGUCUGGUCUGAGAUCUCCGGAUUGAAAACAGUUUAAUUACACCACAUCGAGACACAUCAACAUUCUAAAGGCCACAACACACACACACACACACACACACACACACACACACACAUGUUGUAAAUAAGUAACUGUUUGGUUAAAAUUAGAAUCUAAAUGAUUAGAAUAAUGUUUCUCUUGCAGGAUUUCCAACAUCCACUCUCAUCAUUACUGUGUCUGUGGUUCUGGUGCUGAUUCUCUUUGCUCUUAUAUUGACUGUCACACUACAGAGAAAGAAGAAGACUCGAGGCUCUGAAACAGUGACACAA